AACGCAACGAUAAUCGUUUCUUUGGAACUUGGGGGUCUGUAACUUUCAAUAGUGUGGUUGGGUCGAAAGGCAAUCUUCACUCGACCUCCGCAGCCUAGAAACGCAGUCAAGGCGGCCGAGGUGGCACCGGGAGAACUUUUGCUUGGGCCUGCUCGGAAGCUGCUCUCGUCCUUCCUUUCCGCUGCACUUCCUUGGAGAUUUAUUUAUUAUGUAUACAACAUUCUGCCUCGAUGUAUGCCCGCACGCCAGAGGAGGACGCCAGAUCUCAGUACAAAUGGUUGUGAGCCACCAUGUAGUUGCUGGGAAUUGAACUCAGGACCUCUGGGAGAGCAGCCAGUGCUCUUAACCUCUGAGCCAUCUCUCCAGCCCCCUACACACAUAAUUUAAAUGAAGAUUUUUCCACUUCGACUGACAAUUUCCUCAGGAGCCAUAGACUAACAAAAACCCAUCACCAGAAAGUAAGUUCCUAUUGUUGAACACGUCAAACAUAUCAGACACAGAACCAGAGGAGCCAAGCUGCCUGCAACCUGAAAGUCCCUUCCCUGAAGACCAGCUUGCAUGGUAUCUGAAAGUGUCACACAUUUCCAAAGGAGGAGAGCAAACAACAGUCCUGUCUGCACUCAGCUAUGACACUUAUAAACUGUAACAAUGUCCAGAGUUGCAUGCUAAUGCUAAGGGUAUUUCUUUUUUUUUUUUUUAAAAUAUUUAUUUACUUAUUAUGUAUACAAUAUUCUGUCUGUAUGCCUGAAGGCCAGAAGAGGGUGCCAGACCUCUUUACAGAUGGUUGUGAGCCACCAUGUGGUUGCUGGGAAUUGAACUCAGGACCUUUGGAAGAGCAGGCAAUGCUCUUAACCACUGAGCCAUCUCUCCAGCCCCGCUAAGGGUAUUUCUUGUUGUUAACCAAAGGUAACCAAAGGUCUCUAAUUGGACUGAAGGCCCACUCAACAAGAGGGAAACCUAGGCAACUACUCAGGGCUAGGGAAAUCAUGUGUCUUGAAGGAGAACCUACAACUGCCACUUUUCUAAAACUAGUGCAGUCCCUAACUACAUUCUAAAUGGUUCUCUUUAUACCCUUAGUAAGUGUAGUUCUUGCCCCGCAUCAAGGAAACUUCUCUUUGCAACAUAUGGAGACCAUUACAGAAAAUCACAAGCAAACAAAAUACAGAGUUGUGGAGCUUAGACUCAAUUCAUACAUCCACAAUGAAAUCAUUACAUUUAGUAUUUGUAUCAUGUCUUUAACCAGAAAAAGCGUGACACAUACCUCAAAGAUAGAUGUUAUUAAUAUUUCUGAAUCAUCAUAUAAUACUUGACAAGUUCUUGACACAUUUUUUCAUUGAAGAUUAUAUUACACACAAUUUUCUAGAAUAAGUUAUAUUCCAUAGUACUCUAAAUAUAUAUCCAAACUUAAUAUCCAUUGGGUCAUUAACCUGAUGGUCAUUGGUGGUGGGUUGUGUCACUGUAUUUUCAAGCAUCAAGUUAGCCUUGUCUUGUGGGACUGAGUUCUUUGCCAUCCGUCUUGUCCCUCUUACUUUCAGGCCUCUGCCCGACAUUUUCAGUGAUCACAUUGUUCUCCCAGCUUAACUGCUCUAUGAGGACAGAGGUCUAGGUUUUUGGUCUGUUGCGCACUUCCGCAAUCCUUCUCAUGUCUUUCUCAUCCCAUCUUCUACUCUCCCAAAGGUGGCCAUGGAUUUGCAUCGCAGGUUGCAGCAGAUGGGUGCCGUUAAGAAGAACCCCAGACUUGAUCUAUGGUCAUUGUUAUCUUCUAGUAUGACACUCGACUUUGCUACUGAACUCUUCCUGUGCAAGCUGAGAAGCUUGGCUAUAAUUUGGUCUUUUAUUUUUAUAAUAGGCUGUGUUGAGAAAGGAGCUUUGACAAUAGAAGUAAUCAACUAGCAGGUCCAUUUCUACUGUGGAAAGCGGCUGGAACCUCAUACCUAUGGAUGAAAAGAGAAGGGAGCACCAACUGCGGCGAUGAAGUCUGUACCGCGGAUUCCGAAGGGCGCUGUGAAGGUUCUUCUCAGAGUCGUCAGUGUGUAAAUACUGUGCUCCCAAGGUCUCGCUACAGUCAUACUAGCAUCUUGGACUCCAUGCACAGAACUUGGCAGUUUUGAACAACUAUUUGUGAUUGAAAAAUGACCGACAAAUUUAAGGUCCCAAAGCUCAGUUUCAGUACCCAAAAAGCCGCUGUCUCGCCCGCUUGCCCCUCUCUUCCCGUGCUUCACACCUGAAUGUUGGACCCCCAUUACUGUUCUGUGAGUUUUUAUUAAAAUAAAGAAAAAAAAACUUAGUAUACCCUAUUUGGAGCUAGUGUGGGAUUAUUUGA